GAUGAACGCUGGCGGCGUGCCUAAUACAUGCAAGUCGAGCGAACAGACGAGGAGCUUGCUCCUCUGACGUUAGCGGCUGACGGGUGAGUAACACGUGGAUAACCUACCUAUAAGACUGGGAUAACUUCGGGAAACCGGAGCUAAUACCGGAUAAUAUAUUGAACCGCAUGGUUCAAUAGUGAAAGACGGUUUUGCUGUCACUUAUAGAUGGAUCCGCGCCGCAUUAGCUAGUUGUUAAGGUAACGGCUUACCAAGGCAACGAUGCGUAGCCGACCUGAGAGGGUGAUCGGCCACACGGGAACUGAGACACGGUACAGACUCCUACGGGAGGCAGCAGUAGGGAAUCUUCCGCAAUGGGCGAAAGCAUGACGGAGCGACGCCGCGUGAGUGAUGAAGGUCUUCGGAUCGUAAAACUCUGUUAUUAGGGAAGAACAAAUGUGUAAGUAACUAUGCACGUCUUGACGGUACCUAAUCAGAAAGCCACGGCUAACUACGUG
rnacentral:rRNA from 1 species